GAUGAACGCUGGCGGCGUGCCUAAUACAUGCAAGUCGAGCGAACGGACGAGAAGCUUGCUUCUCUGAUGUUAGCGGCGGACGGGUGAGUAACACGUGGAUAACCUACCUAUAAGACUGGGAUAACUUCGGGAAACCGGAGCUAAUACCGGAUAAUAUUUUGAACCGCAUGGUUCAAAAGUGAAAGACGGUCUUGCUGUCACUUAUAGAUGGAUCCGCGCUGCAUUAGCUAGUUGGUAAGGUAACGGCUUACCAAGGCAACGAUGCAUAGCCGACCUGAGAGGGUGAUCGGCCACACUGGAACUGAGACACGGUCCAGACUCCUACGGGAGGCAGCAGUAGGGAAUCUUCCGCAAUGGGCGAAAGCCUGACGGAGCAACGCCGCGUGAGUGAUGAAGGUCUUCGGAUCGUAAAACUCUGUUAUUAGGGAAGAACAUAUGUGUAAGUAACUGUGCACAUCUUGACGGUACCUAAUCAGAAAGCCACGGCUAACUACGUGCCAGCAGCCGCGGUAAUACGUAGGUGGCAAGCGUUAUCCGGAAUUAUUGGGCGUAAAGCGCGCGUAGGCGGUUUUUUAAGUCUGAUGUGAAAGCCCACGGCUCAACCGUGGAGGGUCAUUGGAAACUGGAAAACUUGAGUGCAGAAGAGGAAAGUGGAAUUCCAUGUGUAGCGGUGAAAUGCGCAGAGAUGUGGAGGAACACCAGUGGCGAAGGCGACUUUCUGGUCUGUAACUGACGCUGAUGUGCGCAAGCGUGGGGAUCAAACAGGAUUAGAUACCCUGGUAGUCCACGCCGUAAACGAUGAGUGCUAAGUGUUAGGGGGUUUCCGCCCCUUAGUGCUGCAGCUAACGCAUUAAGCACUCCGCCUGGGGAGUACGACCGCAAGGUUGAAACUCAAAGGAAUUGACGGGGGCCCGCACAAGCGGUGGAGCAUGUGGUUUAAUUCGAAGCAACGCGAAGAACCUUACCAAAUCUUGACAUCCUUUGACAACUCUAGAGAUAGAGCCUUCCCCUUCGGGGGACAAAGUGACAGGUGGUGCAUGGUUGUCGUCAGCUCGUGUCGUGAGAUGUUGGGUUAAGUCCCGCAACGAGCGCAACCCUUAAGCUUAGUUGCCAUCAUUAAGUUGGGCACUCUAAGUUGACUGCCGGUGACAAACCGGAGGAAGGUGGGGAUGACGUCAAAUCAUCAUGCCCCUUAUGAUUUGGGCUACACACGUGCUACAAUGGACAAUACAAAGGGCAGCGAAACCGUGAGGUCAAGCAAAUCCCAUAAAUUUGUUCUCAGUUCGGAUUGUAGUCUGCAACUCGACUACAUGAAGCUGGAAUCGCUAGUAAUCGUAGAUCAGCAUGCUACGGUGAAUACGUUCCCGGGUCU
rnacentral:rRNA from 1 species